rnacentral:misc_RNA from 1 species
UACGGAGGUAGUUAGCGUGGUUCGGAAUUACUGGGCGUAAAGCGCGCGUAGGCGGCUUUGUAAGUUAGAGGUGAAAGCCCGGGGCUCAACUCCGGAACUGCCCUUAAGACUGCAAGACUAGAAUCCGGGAGAGGUGAGUGGAAUUCCGAGUGUAGAGGUGAAAUUCGUAGAUAUUCGGAAGAACACCAGUGGCGAAGGCGGCUCACUGGACCGGCAUUGACGCUGAGGUGCGAAAGCGUGGGGAGCAAACAGG